rnacentral:rRNA from 1 species
AUUGAACGCUGGCGGUAGGACUAACACAUGCAAGUCGCACGAGUGGCGGACGGGUGCGUAAUGUCUGGGAAACUGCCUGAUGGAGGGGGAUAACUACUGGAAACGGUAGCUAAUACCGCAUACCAUCGGAUGUGCCCAGAUGGGAUUAGCUAGUCGAUGGGGUAACGGCUCACCUAGGCGACGAUCCCAAGCUGGUCUGAGAGGAUGACCAGACAAAAGGGAAGUGUGACACGGGCCAUACUCCGACGUGAGGCAGCGGGGGGGAAAAUUGCACGAUGGGCGCAAACCUGAUGCAGCCAUGCCGCGUAGAUGAUGAAGGCCUUCGGGUUGGAAAGUACUUUCAGCAUGGGGACGUUACCCGCAGAAGAAGCACCGACUAACUCCGUGCCAGCAGCCGCGGUAAUAC